rnacentral:rRNA from 1 species
UACGUAGGGGGCGAGCGUUGUCCGGAUUUAUUGGGCGUAAAGCGCGCGCAGGUGGUCCGUUAAGUCCUGUGUGAAAUCUCCCGGCUCACCCGGGAGGGGGCGCGGGAUACUGGGGGACUGGAGGCAGGCAGAGGCCGGUGGAAUUCCCGGUGUAGUGGUGAAAUGCGUAGAGAUCGGGAGGAACACCAGUGGCGAAAGCGGCCGGCUGGGCCUGUUCUGACGCUGAGGCGCGAAAGCGUGGGGAGCGAACCGG